CUCUGUUAGAUUGGGUCAAAUAGGGUCAGAGCUGAAAAUUUUCCAUUGUGCAGGGACAUAGGUAUGCCACUCUUCAAUGUCCUCCGUGCCUCGAGCGGCACAAAGUUCUAUAGUGUGACUGCCUCGUGUCCAGUUAGGUGAGGGAGCUCUUCACUCUCGGUACCUCAUUUGUCUCUCACCACAUCCUUGUCAGGUGGUGUUAUCUUCCAGCUUUAUUGAUGAGAAAAUGGGCUCAGAGGGCCCGACCUGCUUAAGGUAACACAUCUAUCGAAGGCUUAUGUAGAUUCAAAUCCAUGUCUGUGCUGUUUUACACUGAGCUACAGGGCACUAGGUUCUGGGGGAUGCAGCUAAAUGUAAGACAUAGAGGAGCUUUGUCAUUUGUUUGGGGACACAAGCUAUCUGCCCCUGAAGCAUUUAGGCCGACGCAGUCAUAUGAAACAAAGAGAAACCUGUGUGUUUAAGAGAUGUUGAAGGCCAGUCGUCUACAGGGUGCUGUUAGCUUUGGCUCAGCUGCCUCCUACGAUCAGAAUAGGAUCACACCCCUGAUGUUCCUUUUGCUUUAUAGUGAAAUGAUAUCAUAUUUCCUUUUUGGAGAAGAAAGAUUACUCAGCCUGCAGAUAAUCAUCAAAUGCUCUGGAGGAAGUUCUUUGGAAGGAAGGCAAUUUGGUGUUGCUACGUUCUGCAUAAAAGUGAGUCUCAGUCACAGCCUUUAUUAGACCGUGAGCUCCUUCAGGAUUGAGGCUGGGUCUUCCACGUCUGUACGGCACAGAUCCUGGCCCAGAGAAGCUAUGAGUGAUGAGCCUCUUCUCUGGCGUUUGGGCUGGAAGCCCCUGAUCCAGGCCACCUGCAUCCCUGCAACUCCUCACAGAGCUUCCUCACCUGACUGUUGCCCGGGUAGGCGGCUGGGCACAGCACCAAUUGGAAGUCCUCAAAGCCCGGCAGGAAUCCCGAGUGCAUGGUCAGGCUCAAGGUGACGUUCAGCAAGGUGCGAUGGGUUGUAGAGGAAAAGAGGUGGAGAAGACCCACGUCCUCCUGGUCACAUUCUUCUCCCAGAGGGCCUCGGCCAGCAGCCCGAAGUGGAGGUGGUAACAGUCACAGACGAUGACCGUGGUGGUAGGGCUGGCGGCGAGCACGCUGGCCACGCUGUGGAUGCUGUGGGCCUGGCUGCCGAUCUUGGAGAAGGCCACACAGCUGCCCGCGCGCCUCCCCUCCUUCCGCAGCUGCUGCUGCUCCAGCCACUCCAAGUUGCCACUGUCAGAACCCACCAGGCCCACCCAGGUCCAGUUAAAGUGGCUCAAGAGCUUGGUCAGGACCUGGGGCUGGUGGGCGCUGCUGGGCACCGUGCGGAGGAAGGACGGGAACCGGGACAGUCGGAGAACUGGGGGUGCUGGGAUCUGUGGCUGCCCGUGGGGGAGAAGCGGGGCUGUAUAUUUGCGUGGGGACACCUUACCACCCCUGCCCAGUGUCUGCUGUCCUGGACCCGCCCUCACUGCCCCCCUUCUAUAUGCAAAUAGUUUCUUUUUUUUUUUAACAUACAGAAUGUUGUGCGUGAUUACCAUUUACGACCUGAUGAGUUUGGAGAUAAGUGUACAUCUGUGAAACCAUCAGCACAAUCUACGCCAUGCACCUACUCAUCAGUCCAAAGUUGCUCCCACCCUCUUCUCUAUUAUAUUAGUCUGGUUUUGUGUGAUAAGAGCACUUAGCACACUAUUUACCCUCUUGGCUAAUUUUUAAGAACACAGUACAUAUUGUGAACUCUAGGCAUUAUGCUGUACAGGAGAUCUCUAGAACUCAUUGGGUGUAACUGAAACUUUGUGCCCUUUGACGAAUAUCUCCCUGUUUUCCUUCCUUCCAGGCCUGAACCACUUCUCUAUUAUCUGCUUCUGGGAAUCUAUUUUAAUUCAUCAUAUAAGUAAUAUCAAGUUGUAUUAAUCCUUCUGUGUCUGUCUUUUAUUUUUAAAUAUUAUCUCAGCCUAUCUCAUCAUCUACCUCCAGGUCCUUCCAAAGCCUAUAUGCUCAGGCCUGGGAGGCCAGUUUCCUGGAAGAAGGACAGCAGUGGACUCAAGAAGGCAGAGUAGGAAGCCAGUGGGAGAAACAGAGAAGUAAGGUGUGCUAAGUGAUUUGUGUUUAUGCGUUGUAUAAUUCUUGACAUUGCUUGAGAGGUAAAGGUUCAAGUGAAUUAAAAACUUGAAUAAUCAUGAGAAGCAUAGAAACAAGAUAUAGAACAUCCAAAGCAGUGGAAGAAAAAAAAGGUUAAAAAAAUCAGGAAAUUUCAAGAAAGGACAAAACAAGAAAAAAGCAUAAUAAAUAUGAAUGAAAAAUGAAUGGAAAAAUGAAUGAAAGCAUAGAAACGCUUUCAAACUAAAUAACACAUAAAACAGCUUUCUAUUUGUUAUUUCUAGUAUUAUGUUUUUAAAUUUUUUUGUGGAAAGUUAUGACAAAGCCUAAGAGAUAGAAAGUUCUAUGAGAGGGCCAAAUGGCAUCAAACACGUCGGCAAUUUGAGCAAAUGUAAAAGGUUCAAUGACUCCAGUUAAGAAAAGCAUAAUGUGUGCUCUGUUUGCUGUCUAGACAAACUACAGCCUCCUGCAUCCUCACUACAGAAGUGAUUUAUUUUUAUGCCUUUGUAAGAAUUUCCACAUAAAUAAGAAAUGAGAAAAGCCAUCCUCAGUCAGCUAAGUGUCCUGAUUAUUGACUGACAAGCCAAGGUCACCCUAAACGAAUAGUUCCAUUUGGAACCUUGAGGCUAGGUUGUUCCGCCCCAAGUCCCAACCCUUCGAGAGCCAGAGGGUGCCCUGGUGUUAUGGCUCUCUGGUUCAUGCUUGCCUUCUUGUCCAGAGUAGGAGCACUUCUGAGGACAGAGCCAUGGCAUAUGGUACCUAUAGCAUAGCGUUCUAUGCCAUGAGUGAUGUGCUCAGUAAGAAUUUGGAAACAAUAACCAGUCCCACAAUAGGCAGUAUUUCUGUUUAGGUGAGGUUUCCUCCUUCUUGCUUCUGUACCUUCUUCUCCCUGUGGAGUCUGGUUGCCCAGCUUCGAAUCCCAAACUCCCAUUUAUUAUUUGUGUGAAUUGUGGCAAGUGACAUUUCCUCUUUGAGUCUCAAUUUCAUAAUCUGUAAAAUGGGAAUAAUAAUAUCUACCUCCUAAAGUUGUUGUGAGGAUUACAUGAGAUAAUAAAAAUAAAGGCAAUGAUAUUAAUAAGAGGAAA